CUUGUUGAAGGACGUUUUCCUAAUUCAAGAUUAAAAAUGGAAAUAGACAAAGGGGUAAGGGAAAAAAUGGUGGUCUCGUAUCAAUGGUGUGACGGGCAUUGGUACGAGUACCGAUGUUAUAAAAAAAAAGAAAAUUUCUAUUAUAGAAUGUGGAUUGAAAUUUGAGAAUGCCAAAGCAUAUGGGCAUUAGCUGAUAUAUUAUUGACUUGAAUUCCUUGUGUGAUUGUGUUUUAUUUAUUUCAUCCGUAUAGUUGUGAUAAUUGAGGUGGGUAUGUAUUAUGUUCAUAUUGAUUGAUUGAGAUGCAUCAUCAUCCCCUCUAUUGAAAUAAUAUUGUGCAUAUGCAUAGACGUGAGACUGAGUAUAAGUUGGGCACGUGGAGAUCGUCCGUGCUGGGGAUGGUGAGAUGUUAAGAUUGUAAUUUGGGCACGUGGAGACCGUCCGUGCGAAAAUUAUUUGAUAUUAUGAUAGUGCGUUGAGAUCGUCCGCACAGACACGUGGAGAUCGUCCGUGUCGGUAUAUGGACCUCGCGAGUCCCCCAUGGGUCAUGAACUCUCGAUGUAUUUCCGAGGAGUAUCAUGUAUAUACGGUUGAGUGAGUACUGGGUAUUCUGAGACAUAUCAUUACAUGGCAUCAUAUUGCAUUGCACUUCAUCCCAUCAUUCAUUCUUGAUGACUAUAUGUUUCGUUGGUGUUUGGAAAAUAUUAAAUGUUGAUUUCCUUUAUUGAUGAAACUUAAAUAGUAAGUGUAAUAUAUAUAUAUACUUGUACAAUCUAAGAAAUUAUUUUCUUAUAUAACUCCCGUCACUACUUCUUCGUGGUCGGUCAAUGAGACAUAUUGAGUACACGUGGUUUCGUACUCAUACUACACUUGUUGCACUCUUUGUGGUGCAGAUUCGAUUCCAAGUAGGAGCACAUCUCGAGGAGCAGUUUGAGUCCGAGUUUGGAGUGUCUUGGAGUUGUGGUGAGCUGCUUGGCUGUUCCGUGGCCCACACCUCCCUCUAUCUUUUACUUAUUCUGUUAUUCAGUAUUCAGACAGGAUAUCCCUUAUGUUAGAUUUGCCUUUUUGGUUUCAGACUUGCAUCGUAUUUUAGAAGCUCUUGUACUUAAGACACCAAUUCUUGGGGUGGUAUAUUUUAUCUUCCGCAUUUCGUACUUAUAAGGAACUCAUGUUGGAGAUUCUUGCUAAGCGUUGGUCUUUUUACUCAUUUGAUUGGUUUAGUUGGGUUAGUAUGUUGGGUUGGCUUACCUAUUGGUUGGGAACAUAGGUGCCAUCACGACUUGAAAAAAAUUGGGUCGUGACAAAUUUGGUAUCAGAGCUCUAGGUUUAUCGGUCUCAAGAGUACAAGAGCAAUGUCUAGUAGAGUCUUGCGGAUCGGUAUGAAGACGUCCAUACCUAUCUUCGAGAGGCUAUAGGACAUUUAGGAAAUAUUCUGUUCUUUUAUUCCUUAUCGUGCACACUUGACCUUGUAGAAAUUCUAAUCUUGAUAUCUCAUUCUCUCUCAGAUGGCGAGGAAUCGUACGUCGGCAAGUGGUGGUCAGUAUCCUAAUCCUGCGUCUGCUUCUGGGAACCCUAUCCGAGGUAGAGGUAGGGGACGAGCUCGAGGUCGGGGUAGGGGCCGUAUUGCAGCACCUGUGGGUGGUCAAGUACCAAUAGCUACCCAGGGUCAUGAUAGGACCGUGCCUCCUGAUGCAGAUGUUCUUCAUGGGGAUGUGCAAGAUCGUGUCGAGGGGGAUGGGCCAGCUCAGGCUCCAACAAGUACUAUUGUUCCCCCAGUGCUUCAAGAUACCCUGGCUCGUAUGUUAGGAAUCCUAGAGGGGAUGGCCCAGGCAGGAGCUUUGCCUGUCACUUCUGAUGGCUCACAGACCCGUGUUGGAGGUCAAACUCCAGAUCCGAUAGUUGCUCCAGAUUCUCAGACUCCCAGGACUCAGCCAGCUGCCGCUGUAGCUCCUCGUUUGGAUAGUAUGGAGUUUCCAGAUAUGACAUCACAUUUGGUGAACAGGCCUUCUAUGACUAUUGAUGAGCAAAAGAUGUUUGGGAGGUUCAGACUAAUGAAUCCUCCUACUUAUACUGGUGACUUAGCUGAGGAUGCAUAUGAGUUUAUAGUUAGUUGUCAUGAGAGGUUGCAUAAUCUUGGAUUAGUGGAGUCUCAUGGAAUUGACUACACAGCGUUUCAGAUGACUGGCUCUGCUAAGCAGUGGUGGAGGGAUUAUAUUAGUAGUAGGCCAGCUGGAUCUCAUCCACUAUCCUGGACUGAGUUUACUCAGGUAUUUCUAUCCAAAUUUGUUCCACGCAGUGAGAGGGAGCGCAAGAGGGCCGAAUUUGAGGGUUUGCAGCAAAAUGGUAUGUCAGUUGCAGAGUAUGAGGGUAAAUUUCAUGCCUUGGCUAGGCAUGCUUCGAUGAUACUUCCCACAGAGGCUGAGAGAGUGAGGAGGUUUGUUAAGGGGCUGAUUAUUCCAAUUCGUCUAGGAGUUUCUCAGGUUGCUGCUUCUGGUGUUCCAUUCCAGAAAGUGGUAGAUGCUGCUAAGGAGUUGGAGAUGAUUCGACGUGAGGGAUUUGAGCAGCGAGAGGGCAAGAGGACUCGUUAUUCAGGUGAUUAUGGUGGUGCUCCGUCUAGGAGUCGGGGUUACUUGGGCAGAGGUUAUCACCCUCAGUCCAGCAGACCCAUUCAUGCUGCCAUACCAGCGUCUGAGGCUGGUUGCGCUGGGCAUAACUCUUUGAGCUCGGUACAUACUUCGCAGGGUUCAUCUUCUAGACCUGUAGUUCGUGGAGGGCAUUCUGGACAUUCCGGUUCCUCUCAUCAGCCGGCGUCUCGUAGGGGUUGCUUUGAGUGUGGUGAUAUGGGACACUUUGUGAGAGACUGCCCUAGGACCAGACGUGGUGGCUUACAUCAGGGUUCUCAGGUUUCGACUUCCAGGGCUGCACAACCUCCAGCUAGGGGUGGUGCACAGAAUGGUAGAGGUGGUUCUCAUUCAGGUAGAGGUGGUUCUCCUUCUGGUCGAGGUGGUGGUCGUGGAGGUCCACAAUCUGAUGGAAGUCGUUCUCACUGUUAUGCUUUUCCAGGUAGGCCAGAGGCUGAAGCCUCAGACGCUGUUAUCACAGGUAUUAUUCCGGUUUGUCAUCGACCAGCUACUGUAUUAUUUGAUCCAGGCUCUACUUAUUCUUAUGUGUCCACAUAUUUUGCUCCUAGUCUGGAUAUAUUGUGUGAGUCUCUUGAUUUGCCGAUACGUGUUUCUACUCCUGUCGGGGAUUCUGUAGUUGUAGAUCGAGUGUAUCGUUUAUGUACUGUUACUUUGAUGGGGUAUGACACUCAUGCAGAUCUAAAGGUCUUAGAAAUGAUAGAUUUUGAUGUGAUUCUUGGUAUGGAUUGGUUAUCUUCUUACCACGCAAUUUUAAAUUGUCAUGCCAAGACCAUCACUUUAGCUAUGCCCGGAAUUCCUAUAGUAGAAUGGAGAGGUACUCUUAGUCAUCCUUCUAAGGGUGUGAUAUCAUUCCUUAAGGCUCGUCAGUUGGUACAGAGAGGAUGUUUGGCUUACUUGGCCCAUAUUCGAGAUACUAGUAUUGAGACUCCUAUGCUUGAGUCUAUUCCAGUGGUGAGUGAAUUUUCAGAGGUAUUCCCGACCGAUUUGCCAGGUCUUCCACCAGAUCGUGAUAUUGAUUUUUGUAUCGAUGUGGAGCCAGGCACUCGGCCUAUUUCUAUUCCUCCUUAUCGUAUGGCACCGGCUGAAUUGAAAGAGUUGAAGGAGCAAUUGCAGGAUUUGUUGAGCAAAGGUUUUAUUAGACCAAGUGUAUCUCCUUGGGGUGCUCCAGUGUUAUUUGUGAAGAAAAAAGAUGGAUCUAUGCGUAUGUGUAUUGACUAUCGACAGUUGAACAAGGUAACCAUUAGAAAUAAGUAUCCGAUACCUCGUAUUGAUGAUUUAUUUGAUCAAUUACAGGGCGCUUCAGUUUUCUCCAAAAUUGAUUUGAGAUCGGGCUAUCAUCAGCUGAAGGUUAGGGCGGAGGAUAUCCCUAAGACGGCUUUUCGAACACGUUAUGGUCAUUACGAGUUUUUGGUGAUGUCUUUCGGAUUGACUAAUGCCCCAGCAGCUUUUAUGGACUUGAUGAAUGGAGUGUUCAGACCAUAUUUAGAUUCCUUUGUUAUUGUCUUCAUAGAUGAUAUAUUGAUAUACUCACGCAGUAAGGAGGAACACGAGCAUCAUUUGAGGAUUGUUCUUGGGAUUCUAAAGGAGAAGAAGCUUUAUGCAAAGUUUUCAAAGUGUGAGUUUUGGCUUAGUUCGGUAGCAUUCUUGGGACAUGUAGUGUCCAAGGAGGGUAUCAUGGUGGAUCCUAAGAAGAUUGAGGCGGUUAGAGAUUGGGUCAGACCUGCUUCAGUUACUGAGAUUCGGAGUUUCUUGGGCAUUGCAGGUUAUUAUCGACGGUUUGUUGAGGGUUUCUCAUCCAUUGCAUCUCCAUUAACUAGACUGACACAGAAGGAGGUGACUUUUCAGUGGUCUGACGAAUGUGAGGUUAGUUUCCAAAAGCUCAAGACUUUAUUGACUACUGCUCCGAUUUUAACCCUACCCGUGGAGGGAGAGGGUUUUGUCGUAUAUUGUGAUGCUUCUCGGAUUGGUCUUGGUUGUGUAUUAAUGCAGAAGGGAAAAGUGAUAGCUUAUGCUUCGAGACAGUUAAAGGUUCAUGAGAAGAACUACCCUAUUCAUGAUUUAGAAUUGGCGGCUGUGGUGUUUGCAUUAAAGAUUUGGAGGCAUUAUCUUUAUGGGGUGCAUUGUGAGGUGUUCACGGAUCAUCGUAGUCUCCAGUAUAUAUUCAAUCAGAGGGAUCUAAAUUUGAGGCAGAGGAGAUGGUUGGAGUUGCUCAAAGACUACGAUAUGACUAUUCUUUAUCACCCAGGCAAAGCAAAUGUUGUAGCAGAUGCCUUGAGUCGGAAGGCGGUAAGUAUGGGUAGCCUAGCCAUGUUACAGGUUGGCGAGCGUCCCUUAGCUAGGGAUGUCCAAUCCCUGGCCAAUAGCUUUGUGAGACUUGAUAUUUCAGGAUCUGGUAAGGUGUUGGCUUAUAUGGAGGCUAGGUCAUCCUUGUUGGAGCAGAUUCGGGCUCAACAGUUUGAUGAUGGUGAUUUAUGUAAGAUUAGGGACAAGGUGUUAAAAGGAGAAGCCAAGGCUGCAAUUCUUGAUAGUGAGGGAGUUUUGAGGAUUAAGGGUCGUAUAUGUGUUCCUCGUACAGGUGAUUUGACUAGAUUGAUCAUGGACGAGGCUCAUAGUUCGAGAUACUCUAUUCAUCCGGGGGCUACUAAGAUGUAUCGUGACUUGAAGCAACAUUAUUGGUGGUGUCGUAUGAAGAGGGACAUAGUAGAUUAUGUAUCCCAGUGUCUGAAUUGUCAGCAGGUGAAGUAUGAACAUCAAAAGCCUGGAGGUGUGACACAGAGGAUGCCUAUACCUGAGUGGAAGUGGGAGCGUAUUGCUAUGGACUUUGUGGUAGGAUUGCCACGUACCUUGGGUAAGUUUGAUGCUAUAUGGGUCAUCGUGGAUCGACUGACUAAGUCUGCACACUUUUUACCAGUUCAAACUACCUAUAACUCAGAAAGGUUAGCCAAGAUUUAUAUUCGGGAGAUAGUUCGGUUGCAUGGGGUUCCUAUAUCUAUUAUUUCAGAUCGUGGAACCCAAUUUACAUCUCAUUUUUGGCGGUCUAUGCAGAAGGAGUUGGGCACUCGGGUGGAUCUUAGUACAGCCUUUCACCCUCAGACUGAUGGUCAGUCUGAGCGGGCUAUUCAGGUUCUUGAGGACAUGUUGCGGGCGUGUGUGAUUGACUUUGGUGGUCAGUGGGAUCAAUUCUUGCCAUUAACGGAGUUUGCUUACAAUAAUAGUUAUCAUUCGAGCAUUGAGAUGGCACCAUUUGAGGCUUUGUAUGGUAGGAGAUGUCGAUCUCCAAUUGGUUGGUUUGACGCAUUUGAGGUUAGACCUUGGGGUACAAAUUUGUUGAGGGAGUCCUUGGACAAGGUCAAGUUGAUCCAAGAUAGACUUCUCAUGGCUCAGAGUAGGCAAAAGAGUUACGCAGAUAGGAAGGUUCGUGAUUUGGAGUUUAUGGUUGGAGAGAGGGUUUUACUUAAGGUUUCACCCAUGAAGGGUGUGAUGAGAUUUGGAAAGAAGGGCAAGUUGAGUCCAAGGUACAUUGGUCCUUUCGAGGUUGUGGAGCGUAUUGGUGAGGUGGCAUAUCAGUUGGCUUUGCCACCUGGGUUGUCAAGUGUCCAUCCUGUAUUUCAUAUUUCAAUGCUUAAGAAGUAUCAUCAGGGUGGUGAUCACGUGAUUCAAUGGGAUUCGGUGUUACUUGAUCAGAAUUUGACUUUUGAGGAAGAGCCGAUCACCAUUUUGGAUAGGCAAGUUCGGAAGCUAAGGUCCAAGGAGAUUGCUUCAGUAAAGGUUCAGUGGAAGCAUCGUCCAGUGGAGGAGGCUACAUGGGAGACAGAGUCAGACAUGAGGAGUAAAUAUCCUCAUCUUUUUGAUCAUUCAGGUUAGCUCUUGUAUUUUCCCGUUCGAGGACGAACGUUUGUUUAAGUGGUAGGUGAUGUAACGACCCGCUAGGUCGUUUUGAGAACUAGGACUAGUUUGACUCCUUUUGGAAAAUUAAAGGGGGAUAUUUAAACUAUUCGGUAACUACGAGUGCCUAAUUGAGGAAAUUUUUAUUAAAUUAGUAUUUUCCUAAUUCAAGAUUAAAAAUGGAAAUAGACAAAGGGGUAAGGGAAAAAAUGGUGGUCUCGUAUCAAUGGUGUGACGGGCAUUGGUACGAGUACCGAUGUUAUAAAAAAAAAGAAAAUUUCUAUUAUAGAAUGUGGAUUGAAAUUUGAGAAUGCCAAAGCAUAUGGGCAUUAGCUGAUAUAUUAUUGACUUGAAUUCCUUGUGUGAUUGUGUUUUAUUUAUUUCAUCCGUAUAGUUGUGAUAAUUGAGGUGGGUAUGUAUUAUGUUCAUAUUGAUUGAUUGAGAUGCAUCAUCAUCCCCUCUAUUGAAAUAAUAUUGUGCAUAUGCAUAGACGUGAGACUGAGUAUAAGUUGGGCACGUGGAGAUCGUCCGUGCUGGGGAUGGUGAGAUGUUAAGAUUGUAAUUUGGGCACGUGGAGACCGUCCGUGCGAAAAUUAUUUGAUAUUAUGAUAGUGCGUUGAGAUCGUCCGCACAGACACGUGGAGAUCGUCCGUGUCGGUAUAUGGACCUCGCGAGUCCCCCAUGGGUCAUGAACUCUCGAUGUAUUUCCGAGGAGUAUCAUGUAUAUACGGUUGAGUGAGUACUGGGUAUUCUGAGACAUAUCAUUACAUGGCAUCAUAUUGCAUUGCACUUCAUCCCAUCAUUCAUUCUUGAUGACUAUAUGUUUCGUUGGUGUUUGGAAAAUAUUAAAUGUUGAUUUCCUUUAUUGAUGAAACUUAAAUAGUAAGUGUAAUAUAUAUAUAUACUUGUACAAUCUAAGAAAUUAUUUUCUUAUAUAACUCCCGUCACUACUUCUUCGUGGUCGGUCAAUGAGACAUAUUGAGUACACGUG
rnacentral:lncRNA from 1 species